AUUGAACGCUGGCGGCAGGCCUAACACAUGCAAGUCGAACGAGUGGCGGACGGGUGAGUAAUGUCUGGGAAACUGCCCGAUGGAGGGGGAUAACUACUGGAAACGGUCGCUAAUACCGCAUACAACAGGAUGUGCCCAGAGGGGAUUGGCCAGUAGGUGGGGUAAGGGAUCACCGAGGCGCCGAUCCCUAGCUGGUCUGAGAGGAGUACCCGCAACACUGGAACUGAGAAACGGGCCAUACUCCUACGGGAGGCAUCAGUGGGGAAUAUUGCACAAUGGGCGCAAGCCUGAUGCAGCCAUGCCGCGUGUAUGAAGAAGGCCUUCGGGUUGUAAAGUACUUUCAGCGAGGAGGCGUUACUCGCAGAAGAAGCACCGGCUAACUCCGUGCCAGCAGCCGCGGUAAUUC
rnacentral:rRNA from 1 species